UACGUAGGGACCAAGCGUUGUUCGGAUUUACUGGGCGUAAAGGGCGCGUAGGCGGCGCGGUAAGUCACUUGUGAAAUCUCUGAGCUUAACUCAGAACGGCCAAGUGAUACUGCAGUGCUAGAGUGUGGAAGGGGCAAUCGGAAUUCUUGGUGUAGCGGUGAAAUGCGUAGAUAUCAAGAGGACCACCUGAGGUGAAGACGGGUUGCUGGGCCAACACUGACGCUGAGGCGCGAAAGCCAGGGGAGCAAACGGG
rnacentral:rRNA from 1 species